AUUGAACGCUGGCGGCAGGCCUAACACAUGCAAGUCGAACGAGUGGCGGACGGGUGAGUAAUGUCUGUGAAACUGCCUGAUGGAGGGGGAUAACUACUGGAAACGGUAGAUAAUACCGCAUACCCUCAGAUGUGCCCAGAUGGGAUUAGCUUGUUGGGGGGGUAACGGCUCACCAAGGCGACGAUCCCUAGCUGGUCUGAGAGGAUGACCAUCCACAGUGGAACUGAGACACGGUCCAGACUCCGACGUGAGGCAGCAGUGGGAAAUAGUGCACAAUGAGCGCAAGCCUGAUGCAGCCAUGCCGCGUAUAUGAAGAAGGCCUUCGGGUUGUAAAGUACUUUCAGCGGGGAGGCGUUACCCGCAGAAGAAGCACCGGCUAACUCCGUGCCAGCAGCCGCGGUAAUUC
rnacentral:rRNA from 1 species